AAACCAACAGGGAUUGCCUCAGUAACGGCGAGUGAAGCGGCAACAGCUCAAAUUUGAAAUCUGGCUCCAAUCGGGGCCCGAGUUGUAAUUUGUAGAGGAUGCUUUGGGUACGGCCACGGUCUAAGUUCUCUGGAACGAGGCGUCAUAGAGGGUGAGAAUCCCGUCUAGGGCCGCCGGUCACGCCUAGGUAAAGCUCCUUCGACGAGUCGAGUUGUUUGGGAAUGCAGCUCUAAAUGGGUGGUAUAUUUCAUCUAAAGCUAAAUAUUGGCCAGAGACCGAUAGCGCACAAGUAGAGUGAUCGAAAGAUGAAAAGCACUUUGAAAAGAGAGUUAAACAGCAUGUGAAAUUGUUGAAAGGGAAACGUUUGCGACCAGACUCAGCCGUGGCGGCUCACCUUGCGUUUUUCGCCUGGGCAUUCCACUUCGGUUGGGCCAGCAUCGGUUUGGGCGGCCGGUCAAAGGCCUCUGGAAGGUAGCAUCCCCCGGGAUGUCUUAUAGCCAGAGGUGCAAUGCGGCCUGUCUGGAUCGAGGAUCGCGCUUCGGCACGGAUGCUGGCGUAAUGGUCAUAAACGAC
rnacentral:rRNA from 1 species